GAUGAAGAACGCAGCGAAAUGCGAUAAGUAAUGUGAAUUGCAGAAUUCAGGGAAUCAUCGAGUCUUUGAACGCACAUUGCGCCCCCUGGUAUUCCGGGGGGCAUGCCUGUCCGAGCGUCAUUGCUGCCCUCAAGCACGGCUUGUGUGUUGGGCCCCGCCCCCCGGCUCCCGGGGGGCGGGCCCGAAAGGCAGCGGCGGCACCGCGUCCGGUCCUCGAGCGUAUGGGGCUUCGUCACCCGCUCCGUAGGCCCGGCCGGCGCCCGCCGGCGACCCCCCUCAAUCUUUUCAGGUUGACCUCGGAUCAGGUAGGGAUACCCGCUGAACUUAAGCAUAUCAAUAAGCGGAGGA
rnacentral:misc_RNA from 1 species